GGGUGAUUAGCUCAGUUGGUAGAGCGCCUGCCUUACAAGCAGGAUGUCGGCAGUUCGACCCUGUCAUCGCCCACCA
rnacentral:tRNA from 7 species